AUUACAGAUGACAAAGGAUAAACCACAGAACCUCAUUUGGUCUGGUGGAGAUUUAUCAGUGAUGCCAUGACAAGCAAGUAGAGAGUUGCAAACAUGCCGACAACCCAGAAUGAUCUGAUGCGGGAUCCCGAGGAGGCUGGAGGUGUUCACCAGACAGGGAAGUCCCGCCCUUGCUGCUGGCGCUGGCUGUGUGAGACACCCAGGUGGGCGGCUGUUUGACAGGAGCUGCCAGGCACUGUGUGAUGACUCCCCUGAUCUGGAAGAGCACACCACAGAUAUGUGACAAACUUGCAGGUGCUGGGACCACGCAGACAGCUGGGGUUGUGACAGUGAACCGGAAAGCCUUUCUGGGACUUGCCUCCAG